rnacentral:rRNA from 1 species
UACGGAGGAUUCGAGCGUUAUCCGGAUUUAUUGGGUUUAAAGGGUGCGUAGGCGGCCGAGUAAGUCAGCGGUGAAAUUUUGCAGCUUAACUGUAACAGUGCCGUUGAUACUGCAUGGCUAGGAUUUGGUUGCUGUGGGUGGAAUGUGUGGUGUAGCGGUGAAAUGCUUAGAUAUCACACAGAAUAUCAAUUGCGAAGGCAGCUCACAAAGCCAAGAUUGACGCUGAGGCACGAAAGUGUGGGGAUCAAACA